rnacentral:rRNA from 1 species
GAUGAACGCUGGCGGCGUGCCUAACACAUGCAAGUCGAACGGGGAUCUAGAGGAAAAGGUACUUGUACCUCGGACUUUAGAUUCUAGUGGCGGACGGGUGAGUAACACGUGAGCAACCUGCCUUGAUCAGGGGGAUAACAACGGGAAACCGUUGCUAAUACCGCAUAAUAUGCCGUUGGGGCAUCCCAGUGGCAUCAAAGGAGUAAUCCGGAUUGAGAUGGGCUCGCGUCCGAUUAGUUAGUUGGUGAGGUAACGGCUCACCAAGACUGCGAUCGGUAGCCGGACUGAGAGGUUGACCGGCCACAUUGGGACUGAGACACGGCCCAGACUCCUACGGGAGGCAGCAGUGGGGAAUAUUGGGCAAUGGGGGAAACCCUGACCCAGCGACGCCGCGUGAAGGAUGAAGGCCUUCGGGUUGUAAACUUCUUUGAUCGGGGACGAUAAUGACGGUACCCGAGGAACAAGCCACGGCUAACUACGUGCCAGCCGCCGCGGUAA